GAAGGUACAUUAUAUAUCCCUAGAAUGCAUCUCCCAUCACUUACAUGUAUAAAUAUUGUCCCCAUUUCUUUUUUCUUGUUCCUUUUAUUGGGAUGGGGGAUGAUUUCUGUGCCAACAAUCUCCUAAUAUGUAAAUCCUGCUCUGGGGGAAAAUUCAUUAAACAGGAUGAUAGAGACUGCACUCAGAAUCAAUACAGCAAGUCUGUGGGAGGAAGUGGGAACCAGAGAGCUGAACCUUCACCUCUCACUUCCUGUUAAGGCCUAGUAGUCUGUGGAAGGCUCAGGCUGGAAGCAUGCUUGGAGAGAACUCUCUGUAUCAGUUACCAUACAGCAUGUGCACAGUGCUAAAAGGAAGUUAUAUAGCUCCUCUUCCACAACAUGUCACCAUGCUGCACAGUGGAGAGCUGACAGCCUUAGGCCUGGAGAGCAAGUCCAGUCAAGGUUCCCAUGGAUCAGAUGGGCCGCCAGCCGCUGUCAAAGCACCUGACAAAGACUGACAACUGGUGAAUGGAAAAACGGAAUAAGCACUUGGAAGAAGAAAACCAACAACUGAGACAACUAAUUGUUACAGGCAAGUCAAUAUACCUACCUCUCAGCUAGAUUUUCCUGGCGUAAUGGAUACUUUGAAAACCACAAGAGCGCAGCUAAUAGCACUGAAGGUGGCAGUUCAUACUGUGUGGGACAGAAGGUGAUGCACACGAUACACCCAUCUGAAGAGUUGAGCUCAUCUGCUUGUCAAGUGUCGUACUCAAGGCCUAAACAGCUGCUACUUUGACAAAGUUUCCUGGGACUUCAUAAGGUGCGAUCAGUGACGCUGUUACGAGAAAAAUUGCGGCGUUGAAAUAUCACUUGAAGGGAAACAUCAGGAACCUCAUCAGAAUACCACAAAUAAACUUUUAUGUCAUUAAUGUCAUUUACCACAGUUAACACCACUUUCUAUUCCCUGUGUUGAAGUUUUUGUAUAUUUGCAUGAUAAUAAAGUUGUGUGUAUUGUACUGUG